rnacentral:rRNA from 3 species
UGGGGAAUAUUGCACAAUGGGCGAAAGCCUGAUGCAGCGACGCCGCGUGAGGGAUGACGGCCUUCGGGUUGUAAACCUCUUUCAGUAGGGAAGAAGCGAAAGUGACGGUACCUGCAGAAGAAGCGCCGGCUAACUACGUGCCAGCAGCCGCGGUAAUACGUAGGGCGCAAGCGUUAUCCGGAAUUAUUGGGCGUAAAGAGCUCGUAGGCGGUUUGUCGCGUCUGCCGUGAAAGUCCGGGGCUCAACUCCGGAUCUGCGGUGGGUACGGGCAGACUAGAGUGAUGUAGGGGAGACUGGAAUUCCUGGUGUAGCGGUGAAAUGCGCAGAUAUCAGGAGGAACACCGAUGGCGAAGGCAGGUCUCUGGGCAUUAACUGACGCUGAGGAGCGAAAGCAUGGGGAGCGAACAGG